GUCCGGAUGGUGUAGUCGGUUAUCAUAUCUGUCUUACACACAGAAGGUCCCCGGUUCGAUCCCGGGUCCGGACA